AAUUUAAUAUUGAUUUAAUUAUUUUUUUAGUUUGGAUGUUUUUAUAGAAAUAACUUUUAUUUUAGUAUGUUUUAUUGAACUAAUUAGUUGAUUUAUAGUGUAAAGUACUGUGAGGGAUUAUUCUUAUAUUAUAAUUAAAGUUAAAUUAAUUUUUUGUACCUUUUGUAUCAGGGUUGAUUAAUUGUAUUUUAUGGAUAUUAAGUAUCCCGAAAUAAAGAGAGAUAAGAACUUAUGGGUUUCAAUGUAUCAAAAUUGUUUUUAAUUAGUUCUUAGUGAUGAUAUGUCAUUCGUUCUUUAUAUAUCUGGUUUUCUUGGAAUUAAAUUUAAUUUAGAAUAAAAGUGUUAAUAUAACAAGUUAUUAUUUGUUUAAUUGCUUUUAUUUAAUAUUAUUAGGGAUAAGCUUGAUAAUAUUAUUAUAAUUAUUGGUAAUAAUGUAGCUGUUGUAGGUUUAGAAUCGACCAUCAUUAAUUUCGUUAUAGAUUGGGCUAUAAUUUAUUUUAUUUAUUUAUGAUUUAAUUGAUUACAGGAAAAAAUGAAUUAAUUUUUUAUUUGUUAAUAUAAUGAUUAAAUUAGUAUUUUAUUUAAUUAAAUCAUAGGAACUCGGCAAAUAUUGUACUCGCCUGUUUAACAAAAACAUGUCCUUUUGUGAAUUGAAUAUGAGGUCUAAUCUGCCCAAUGAUUAAUUUUGAAUGGCCGCGGUAUUUUAACUGUGCUAAGGUAGCAUAAUCACUUGUCUUUUAAUUAAAGGCUAGAAUGAAUGAUUGGACGAGGUAUUGACUUUCUUUGAUUUAGUUUAUGAACUUAAUUUUUCAGUCAAAAAGCUGAAAUGUAUUUGAGGGACGAGAAGACCCUAUAGAUCUUUAUAUUUGUGUUUAUCAUAAAUUUUAGUGAAUUAAUUAUUGUGAAUUAAUAUUCGUAUUUGAUUGGGGCGAUUGUAGAAUUAAAUUAACUUCUAUUUUUUUUUAUCAUUAAUUAAUGUUUAAUUGAUCCAUUUUUAUUGAUUAAAAGAUUAAGUUACCUUAGGGAUAACAGCGUAAUUUUUUCGGAGAGUUCUUAUCGAUGAAGAAGUUUGCGACCUCGAUGUUGGAUUAAAAUAAGUUUUGGGUGUAGAAUUUCAAAUACUAGGUCUGUUCGACCUUUAAUUUUUUACAUGAUCUGAGUUCAGACCGGCGUAAGCCAGGUCAGUUUCUAUCUUCAAAAGAUUAUUAAGUUUUAGUACGAAAGGACCAAACUUAAGGAAGAGUUUUUAAUUAUUGAUUUCUAUU
rnacentral:rRNA from 1 species